AACGUAGGACGCAAGCGUUAUCCGGAGUUACUGGGCGUAAAGCGCGAGCAGGCGGCUCGACAAGUUCGCUGUGAAAGCUCCCGGCUCAACCGGGCGAGGCCAGUGGAAACUAUCGAGCUGGAGGGCAGUAGAGGCAGGCGGAAUUCCGGGUGGAGUGGUGAAAUGCGUAGAGAUCCGGAGGAACACCAGAGGCGAAGGCGGCCUGCUGGGCUGCACCUGACGCUGAGCCGCGAAAGCUAGGGGAGCGAACAGG
rnacentral:rRNA from 1 species